UGGGGAAUUUUGGACAAUGGGCGCAAGCCUGAUCCAGCCAUGCCGCGUGCGGGAAGAAGGCCUUCGGGUUGUAAACCGCUUUGUCAGGGGAGAAAUCUUCUGAGUUAAUACCUCGGGAGGAUGACGGUACCUGAAGAAUAAGCACCGGCUAACUACGUGCCAGCAGCCGCGGUAAUACGUAGGGUGCAAGCGUUAAAUCGGAAUUACUGGGCGUAAAGCGUGCGCAAGGCGGUUUUGUAAGACAGAGGUGAAAUCCCCGGGCUCAACCUGGGAACUGCCUUUGUGACUGCAAGGCUUGAGUGCGGCAGAGGGGGGAUGGAAUUCCGCGUGUAGCAGUGAAAAUGCGUAGAUAUGCGGAGGAACACCGAUGGCGAAGGCAAUCCCCUGGGCCUGCACUGACGCUCAUGCACG
rnacentral:rRNA from 1 species